ensembl:lncRNA
GCCGCCGUCCCACGUGGCGCCCGCGCCCGAGCGAGGCCCAGGGCCUGGCGGUGGCCUGCGCGCGCUCAGGGCGUUUGGGCCGGCUGUAGAGUGCCUCGCUUGGACCAGAUGCUGGAGCCAGCAUGGGGAUGACCUGAAGCCUGCCCUUGAGGAGGAAUUCUGGGGCUAAAACCAAAAACUUGAAAACAGACAGAUGACGUGCAGAAAACUUGGCUGAUCGUUACAAAUUUGAUGAAGAUUUUGUGUCCUGACUCUGAAAGAGUUUCUAAAAUAUAGAUUUAGUUUCUACAGAGAGAAAGGGAACACUUCCAAGCAAGCCGUUUAAUUUCACAGUUGCGGAGAUGGCUUCAAGUCUUCCUACUGGGUGGUAAAUAAAAUGAACCUCUUCUGGUACAUUUACGGAUGAGACUUAAUACUUUCUCGUGGAGAAAUAAUGGGCUCAUUCAGUUCUGAGAUAAGUUUUUAUUCUCUGGGACUCAGACGUUUCCUUUACAGGUGUCACUUUGCAAACCAGCUUGCUGCUUUUGCUUUCGGACAAAAUCAAUGAGGCGAUUUUCAGCGAUGAUAAUCAAUCCAUGUCCCAACGUAGAAACACACACAGAAAGGGACCCCCUCACCUGAGCAGUUAAGCCUCUUCCCGAAGUCCCCACAGAAGAGGGGAGCUUGGUCCAGAACGAGGGGGCCUGGUUUGGCGCUCAGCAUCUCUGCCUUCAUGUUUGGUGAGCCCGGUGCUGUCCCCAGGCUGCUGGGCUGGCCUGGCCUGUCUGCCAUGUCCGCGGGAGAGUCAGAGCUGCAAUUCGAGAAAAAGGACUGUUUCGCCUUCUGUAUUGAGGAUCCACGAAGAAGGAACUGGGAGGCGGGCUACAGCAGCAGUUAGCAGCACCCACUCUGUGUUUAAAUUCUGACCACAUGACUGACCUGGGGCUAAUCGCUUCACCUCUGCGAACUUCAUCUGUAAGAGGGACUAUGCAUCCUGAUUUCACGCGAUGUCAAAAGAGAAAAUGAAAGCGUUUACUUAGCACAGAGCCGGGAACGUGGUAGGACCCAGUGAAUCAUACUGAUAAUUACUAUUAAUGCCUAAUAAACUCAAGGCUAGAUCUGAUUUCUGACUGGAAGUUUUCACAGUAGGUCCCUUACUAUCUUAGCCCUUGAUUUAACUCAGUGUUUUGCUUUGUUUUUCUUCUG